rnacentral:tRNA from 1 species
CACCAAGAAGCUUCUACAGCACUAGCCUUUUAAGCUAGAGAGGGGGACUAGACAACCCCUUGGUGA